CGAAAGCCUGAUGGAGCAACGCCGCGUGAGUGAAGAAGGUCUUCGGAUCGUAAAGCUCUGUUGCACGGGACGAAAACUGGGUUUGAAAACAUUGAACCUGGGUGACGGUACCGAGCGAGGAAGCCACGGCUAACUACGUGCCAGCAGCCGCGGUAAUACGUAGGUGGCGAGCGUUGUCCGGAAUUAUUGGGCGUAAAGGGAGCGCAGGCGGACAUAUAAGUCCAUCUUAAAAGUGCGGGGCUCAACCCCGUGAGGGGAUGGAAACUGUAUGCCUUGAGUGCAGGAGAGGAAAGCGGAAUUCCCAGUGUAGCGGUGAAAUGCGUAGAUAUUGGGAGGAACACCAGUGGCGAAGGCGGCUUUCUGGACUGUAACUGACGCUGAGGCUCGAAAGCCAGGGGAGCGAACGGGAUUAGAUACCCCGGUAGUCCUGGCCGUAAACGAUGAAUGCUAGGUGUAGGAGGUAUCGACCCCUCCUGUGCCGGAGUUAACGCAAUAAGCAUUCCGCCUGGGGAGUACGGUCGCAAGACUGAAACUCAAAGGAAUUGACGGGGGCCCGCACAAGCGGUGGAGUAUGUGGUUUAAUUCGACGCAACGCGAAGAACCUUACCAGGGCUUGACAUUGAGUGAAAGAGCUAGAGAUAGCUACCUCCCUUCGGGGACUCGAA
rnacentral:rRNA from 1 species